CAACAAGAGAGAAGAAGGGGAGAAUGCUCAAAAGAUGCAAUUUCAUCAAAUUGAAAAGGGAAUUCAGCCCAAAUCUAAUGCAUGUACAUGAAUUCUUGAUCAUCUAGCCCUAUAAAUCACUUGGGAUCAUGUGGAAAUGGACUCAAGCAAGAAAGGCAAACGGGUCAAAAGGAGGCAAGGGAACGGACGCAAAAAGGUUGUACGGGUCACGGAGGAUCAUCAAGGAAUAAAGAUCGAGGACCGAGUCACAUGAAGGAUUGUACGGGGUUGUCUAAGGAUGUAAUUUGUUAUACAUAAGUUAUGAUUUAUUCUAUAAUUGAGUCAGUUUGAUGUAUUCAAUAUAAAAGAGUUAUUUUAAAA